UCUCUCAUAGCUUAGUCGGUAGAGCGUCGGACUUUUAAUCCGAAGGUCAGGGGUUCGAGCCCCCUUGAGAGAG